rnacentral:rRNA from 1 species
UACGGAGGGUGCGAGCGUUGUCCGGAUUUAUUGGGUUUAAAGGGUGCGUAGGCGGCCUGUUAAGUCAGCGGUGAAAGUUUAUGGCUCAACCAUGAAAUUGCCGUUGAUACUGGGGGGCUUGAGUGUCGAUGGGGUACAUGGAAUUUAUGGUGUAGCGGUGAAAUGCAUAGAUACCAUAAGGAACACCGAUAGCGAAGGCAUUGUACUUAUCGACAACUGACGCUGAGGCACGAAAGCGCGGGUAGCGAACAGG